CCUACGGGAGGCAGCAGUGAGGAAUAUUGGUCAAUGGGCGCUAGCCUGAACCAGCCAAGUAGCGUGAAGGAUGACUGCCCUAUGGGUUGUAAACUUCUUUUAUAUGGGAAUAAAGUGAGGUAUGUGUACUGCUUUGCAUGUACCUUAUGAAUAAGGAUCGGCUAACUCCGUGCCAGCAGCCGCGGUAAUACGGAGGAUCCGAGCGUUAUCCGGAUUUAUUGGGUUUAAAGGGAGCGUAGGUGGGUUGUUAAGUCAGUUGUGAAAGUUUGCGGCUCAACCGUAAAAUUGCAGUUGAUACUGGCAGCCUUGAGUACAGUAGAGGUAGGCGGAAUUCGUGGUGUAGCGGUGAAAUGCUUAGAUAUCACGAAGAACUCCGAUUGCGAAGGCAGCCUGCUGGACUGUAACUGACACUGAUGCUCGAAAGUGUGGGUAUCAAACAGGAUUAGAUACCCCUGUAGUC
rnacentral:rRNA from 1 species